UUGGAGAGGCACGAGAGAGAGGCUGCCCAGCGGGAGUCGGCACCCGAUGCCAAGUGGUAUUUCUUCUGAAAGGGGUUUUAUACUCACAUGGGGUGCCUUCACUGUCAAGUUUGUAUUCCACCAUGGGUAUACGACAAAGUUCUGAACAACCCCUUCUAGGAGCUCCAUCCUCAUGUGGCUGAAUAAUCACCACUUUUACAGUUACUGAUGUCCGUAAAAGGUCAAUCAUUUGUUCAUGAGUCAAAGUUGCCACAGCCACUUUACAGAUUUCAACCAGGCGGCUCCCCUGCCUCAGGCCUGCUUUCCAUGCAAAACCAAAGGGCUCCACAUCAGCCACUAUUCCUUCAAAGUUCACGUGGAAUCCAAGCUGGCCCAACCCAUUCCUCCGAAGGGUCAUUUCCGUGGUUUCACAUCCUCUGGUCACUAUUUCAAGUCUUUGAACAAUUUCUCUGAUGUCUUCAGCACAAUUAUCCGCAGCAGACAGAAGAAUACAUUCUCCUCUUUCAUAAAAUAUUUUGAUGCUCAUUAAUCCAGAUGUCCAUCCAAUAACAUCC
rnacentral:lncRNA from 1 species